rnacentral:pre_miRNA from 1 species
GUAUCAUCGUGAGUUUCCUUUAAGCACUUCACGUGACACUAUUACAAAGUCUAAUGUGAAGUGUUUAGGGGAACUCUCGAUGUUAC